UACGUAGGGGGCUAGCGUUGUCCGGAAUCAUUGGGCGUAAAGCGCGUGUAGGCGGCCCGAUAAGUCCGCUGUGAAAGUCCAGGGCUCAACCCUGGGAUGCCGGUGGAUACUGUCGGGCUCGAGUCCGGAAGAGGCGAGUGGAAUCCUGGUGUAGCGGUGAAAUGCGCAGAUAUCAGGAGGAACACCAAUGGCGAAGGCAGCUCGCUGGGACGUGACUGACGCUGAGACGCGAAAGCGUGGGGAGCAAACAGG
rnacentral:rRNA from 1 species